rnacentral:rRNA from 1 species
CCUACGGGAGGCAGCAGUGGGGAAUUUUGGACAAUGGGCGCAAGCCUGAUCCAGCAAUGCCGCGUGAGUGAAGAAGGCCUUCGGGUUGUAAAGCUCUUUUGUCAGGGAAGAAACGGUGGAGGCUAAUAUCCUUUGCUAAUGACGGUACCUGAAGAAUAAGCACCGGCUAACUACGUGCCAGCAGCCGCGGUAAUACGUAGGGUGCAAGCGUUAAUCGGAAUUACUGGGCGUAAAGCGUGCGCAGGCGGUUUUGUAAGUUUGUCGUGAAAUCCCUGGGCUCAACCUGGGAAUGGCGAUGAAGACUGCAAGGCUAGAAUCUGGCAGAGGGGGGUAGAAUUCCACGUGUAGCAGUGAAAUGCGUAGAGAUGUGGAGGAACACCGAUGGCGAAGGCAGCCCCCUGGGUCAAGAUUGACGCUCAUGCACGAAAGCGUGGGGAGCAAACAGGAUUAGAUACCCUGGUAAGUCCACGCCCUAAACGAUGUCUACUAGUUGUCGGGGUUUUAAUUAACUUGGUAACGCAGCUAACGCGUGAAGUAGACCGCCUUGGGGAAGUCGGUCGCAAGNUUAAAACUAAAUGAGUAGAGNGNGAGAGAGCGACGACGACGACGAGGGAGGAGG